rnacentral:rRNA from 1 species
GACGAACGCUGGCGGCGUGCUUAACACAUGCAAGUCGAACGAAGAGCGAUGGAAGCUUGCUUCUAUCAAUCUUAGUGGCGAACGGGUGAGUAACGCGUAAUCAACCUGCCCUUCAGAGGGGGACAACAGUUGGAAACGACUGCUAAUACCGCAUACGAUCUAACCUCGGCAUCGAGGAUAGAUGAAAGGUGGCCUCUACAUGUAAGCUAUCACUGAAGGAGGGGAUUGCGUCUGAUUAGCUAGUUGGAGGGGUAACGGCCCACCAAGGCGAUGAUCAGUAGCCGGUCUGCGAGGAUGAACGGCCACAUUGGGACUGAGACACGGCCCAGACUCCUACGGGAGGCAGCAGUGGGGAAUCUUCCGCAAUGGACGAAAGUCUGACGGAGCAACGCCGCGUGAGUGAUGACGGCCUUCGGGUUGUAAAGCUCUGUUAAUCGGGACGAAAGGCCUUCUUGCGAAUAGUUAGAAGGAUUGACGGUACCGGAAUAGAAAGCCACGGCUAACUACGUG